rnacentral:lncRNA from 1 species
UAAUGCAAGUAAAGGGGACUGAGAUGGCAGCUUAUGUGGAGCAGAGCUCAAAAUACAAAGUGUGACACACAUCCAGGAGAAGAGGGAACUGAAGCCAUUAAGUUGCAAUUGCUUGACUCCCUUUGCCUCUGAACCACAGAAACUGUAUGCACAUUUUAAUAACGUUGUGGUAUGAGUAAGGACAUCAUUGUGCACAAUUCUUUUGCUGACUCUAGUAAUAAAGCAUUCUGCCCUUUAUUUAUAGGACUGCCUCAAGGAUCUGACAGGAGGAAUUGAGUAUGCUGCCAAGAUAUUAAAUGAAAUUCCCCAGAAAGACAUUCAGUGCACUAAAAGAGCCUCAAAGGCAGAAAGGGAAGGAAAUGGGCAAGGCUUCUGCUCUUCAUAACAAAAGGAGAGAAGGACUGUAAAAUCCAAAUCGUGGCAGUGAGAUAUGAAGAGAAUACAAGGUUGGAGCUCAGUAAUGGAGAUUUCAUCUGGUUUGCUCUGCUAAUGGUAGGUGGAAGAUUUGUGUUUUUAUUAUAUUUCAUAUUGUCACUUAUACCCAAGAAAGUGCAAAUCAUUAUUUCUAAGAUGUAUAAAAACAAAGGUGUUAAAGGUAUGGGGGACCAAAAUCUGAUAGCUGAGUGAGAAGGUAUUGGUACCAUGAGUUUAUUUUGCCUUUGGGUAGAAUCUUCUUCAAGGGAGCUGCAGGACACUGAUCUUGUGCUUGCAAGGGAGUGCAUCAGCUGAGAUAUUCCAAUAAGCCUUAUCUCAUGUCUCUGCUAUAAUUAUUCAUCUUGGAGGCUUGGUGUGCUAAGGCAUGAUGAGUGCAGAUGUUAUCUGCUGCAUGAUGGAAAAACAAGCACUUUGAAAACCAAACAAACAUGCUGGUUACGGUAAUCCUCAUUCCCC